CCUACGGGAGGCAGCAGUGAGGAAUAUUGGUCAAUGGGCGCGAGCCUGAACCAGCCAAGUAGCGUGAAGGAUGACUGUCCUACGGGUUGUAAACUUCUUUUAUCAAGGAAUAAAGUGAGGCACGUGUGCCUUUUUGUAUGUACUUUAUGAAUAAGGAUCGGCUAACUCCGUGCCAGCAGCCGCGGUAAUACGGAGGAUCCGAGCGUUAUCCGGAUUUAUUGGGUUUAAAGGGAGCGGAGAUGGGUUGUUAAUUCAGUUGUGAAAGUUUGCGGGUCAACCGUAAAAUUGCAAUUGAAACUGGCAGCCUUGAGUACAGUUGAGGUAGGCGGAAUUCGUGGUGUAGCGGUGAAAUGCUUAGAUAUCACGAAGAACGCCGAUUGCGAAGGCAGCUUACUAAACUGCCACUGACAUUGAUGCUCGAAAGUGUGGGUAUCAAACAGGAUUAGAUACCCUAGUAGUC
rnacentral:rRNA from 1 species